GUUUCGGGUUGGGAUGCCAGAUUGUUACACUUUGGGUCGAACGACAUAAGCCAGCUGGCACACCAAAAGAGCGCAAUAAAGAUGACAUUACAAAAUAAACAACAAUAUCGUCUUAUAUAGCAACACGAUUCCGAAAUGGCACCCAAGCGUCGUACAUCGUGGCGCGCUUCAGAAUGGCGCGCUUUAUUGUGGCGCGCUUACUGGUUAAUAACUAACUUG
rnacentral:lncRNA from 1 species